rnacentral:rRNA from 1 species
UGGGGAAUAUUGCACAAUGGGCGAAAGCCUGAUGCAGCAACGCCGCGUAGUGAUGAAGGCCUUCGGGUUGUAAAGCUCUGUCUUUUGGGACGAUAAUGACGGUACCAAAGGAGGAAGCCACGGCUAACUACGUGCCAGCAGCCGCGGUAAUACGUAGGUGGCAAGCGUUGUCCGGAUUUACUGGGCGUAAAGGAUGCGUAGGCGGAUUUUUAAGUGAGAUGUGAAAUACCCGGGCUUAACUUGGGUGCUGCAUUUCAAACUGGGAAUCUAGAGUGCGGGAGAGGAGAAUGGAAUUCCUAGUGUAGCGGUGAAAUGCGUAGAGAUUAGGAAGAACACCAGUGGCGAAGGCGAUUCUCUGGACCGUAACUGACGCUGAGGCAUGAAAGCGUGGGUAGCAAACAGGAUUAGAUACCCUGGUAGUCCACGCCGUAAACGAUGAGUACUAGGUGUAGGAGGUAUCGACCCCUUCUGUGCCGCAGUUAACACAAUAAGUACUCCGCCUGGGAAGUACGAUCGCAAGAUU